AAUAUGAUUUUGGGGUUAUUAAAUAUUUGUUUAUGAAAUUGAAUGUUAUUUAUAACAGUAAGAUUUUGUUACAAUGAACCUUUCCAUAUUUUAUCAGAGUUUGAAAAGUUUAAUUCCAAACUUAAGUUUGUAUCAUCUAACGUAAGUCGACAAAACAUACAGAAAAAAGUUUUCAGGUACAGUUUUGAUUUUUAGUAUAAAAACUUACCUAUAAAUCAAAAUGCAGGAAUCUGAAGUGGAUUGGCUUAAGAUAAUUUCAAUUAUUACAUCAAGCUGUAUUUUAACAGGGAUAUCAUGUUAAAUAUGUUGUUUUUGGUCAAAAGGCUCAUUAUACAAUUGUUGCCUACCAAACUAUAUCUACUCAUUAAUUAUACAUUAUUGUAUAGAUUUAAUUUAAUAACAUAAAUAUUAAUUUAAUGUAAUUACACUUAAAUAAAAAAUGUAAUAA